rnacentral:SRP_RNA from 1 species
CAUGCCACUACAACAUUAUCUUAAUAACCAGGUCAGGGUAGGAAUACAGCAGCCUUACUUAAGCUCUAUUGUGUGUAGUGGUCUUUUUU